UUUAACAAAAACAUGUCUUUUUGAUUAUAAUUUAAAGUCUGGCCUGCCCAAUGAAUAAAAGGUUUUAAUGGCCGCGGUAUAUUGACUGUGCAAAGGUAGCAUAAUCAUUAGUUUUUUAAUUGAAAGCUGGAAUGAAAGGUUGAAUGAAAAAGUAGCUGUCUCUAAUUAAGUAAAUUUGAAUUUUAUUUUUAAGUUAAAAAGCUUAAAUAGAAGUAAAAGACGAGAAGACCCUAUAGAGUUUUAUAUUUAGUAAAAAUUUAAUAUUUAGUAUUUUAUCUCUUUUAUUUUUAUUGAAUAUUUGAUUGGGGUGAUUAAAAAAUUAAAUUAACUUUUUUUUAUAUUUACAUUAAUUAAUGAAUAUUUGAUCCUUAAAUAAAGAUUAAAAGAAUAAAUUACCUUAGGGAUAACAGCGUAAUUUUUUUUGAGAGUUCGAAUCGAAAAAAAAGAUUGCGACCUCGAUGUUGGAUUAAAA
rnacentral:rRNA from 1 species